ensembl:lncRNA
UUAGUUACCUACCUGUCCAAUUCAUCCGUCCAUCAAUCUACCUACCUGGCUACCUACCCACUUAGUUACCCUACCUGUCCAUCCAUCCGUCCAUCAAUCUUCCUACCUGGCUACCUACCCACUUAGUUACCUACCUGUCCAAUCCAUCCAUCCAUCAAUCUCCCUACCUGGCUACCUACCCACUUAGUUACCUACCUGUCCAUCCAUCUACCAGUCCAUUCAUACUAUUUGCUGCCACCAAGCAUAUCAAACCCUUUUCCAUUUUGUGAUUGUGACACAUGCUAAAAACAAAAAAACAGUGUGUUUGUGGUUGUUUAAUCAACACGAGUCAUUUGUGAGUGUGUGUUCUUUGAGGAUUACAAAGCUUUCAUCCUGCAGCAGCAAGUCGGGGUUUAAAAAGCUAUCAGCAUGGAGCAGCACUCUCCUCACUAACAAGGUCUGCAGAAGGUCACCGGCGCAGCCCAAAAAAAGUCAAACGGACGCCGGCAGCAAGUUAAAAUGUUGGUAGUGUUGCCAGCACAUUAUCAAACACACAGGUGGGUGAAGUGUGUCAUGAAUUCUGCUUUUCAGAAUGCCUGUUUCUUUAAACCAUAUUUAGGUGGUAAAUCGUACAAAACAGAGGAUUGUGACCGAAUCAUAAACUUGAGGGUCGCCAGGUCCUUUAUUUCCAAUCAUCUUCGCACACAACAACUCUGACAAGCAACGUCAGACCUCAGCCUGCUCCACCAGCGCCACGCGAGCCGGGAGGAAAGGCCCCCGGUCCACGCGCAAUCGGACCAGAGGAGAACCCUCGGGCCGCACAACCCUCUCUGACUCCUGGGAAAUGUGAAAAAUCUGUUAGAGAAACAUGUUUUUUAUGUUUUUAAAAGCUUUUCCUGUUUUUCCUUUUUUUUAAAUGUCGCUUCAGCAAGAGGUACUAUUAUUAGUCUUAUAAAAAAUACAUAUGAGGGGACGAUCAAACAAACGUUGGUGAUUGUUUUGACGUGUUCAUGGUUUUAGAUGUGCUCAUCUAAAGGCACAAAGAUGAAACACUUGAGCUUGAAAAGGCGGUAAAACACAAUAAGAAACCCCACUGACUUGAGCACCACGUCGCACAAUGUGUGACUGAUAAAACCCUUUCAUACCCAGGAAUAGUGCCGUGACCUUGUUAAAUUGAAGAUAAUAAUUAGAUUUCUGUAAAAACCUCACGACAGACGCACAAGAUCCUCUGAGGUCGGCUUCAUUUAAACUCCCGGGGCAUCGGCUCCUCCGACAGAGAAACAUCUGUAAUGUUCUGGUUGGCUCGGCGGGUAGCGGGACGUCGUUGUACUUAAGAACCUGUGAUUUUGAGUCUCGUCUCUGUCUCUCUCUCAUUAUCUCUGUGCGAUCUCACGACUUACUCCCUCUCACUGUUCCUCCAUCUGUGUCUACUUUAUUUAAACACGAGAAUGUCACAUCCAAUAUGUUAGUCCACUGAUCUGAAGUGCUAUUUACUUUUUCUUCCCAUCUAGAGUAAUAAUAAAAUAUUGUUAUGGUGAUAAAGUACAGGAUAAACUUCUUACAAUAAACACAUUUUUCAGUUGCAGAGAAUAUAGUAUUUUGGUUUAAAUGAGAGUCUCGGAUGUGUGUGUAUGUGCUGGAAGCACCAGCGAUGGGUGUUCGUGGUUAGCAGGCUAACACCUGUUAGCAUGAACUAUUCACAGGACAGGAGUUAUGCACUGGUGUUAUUUUAGACAGAAGACUUUUCUAAUGAAAUGUUUUGCACUUUAGUCUGCACCUGUUUCAGUUGGAGCCUUCGACAAUAGACAGAUUACACGUAUGACAAAUAAAACACAACAACAAUGUUGUCAACAGCAGCGGAGAUUAAACUCUGGCAAUGUUUUUUUUUUUUCAUUCAUUUAACUCACUGCUCGACAUUUCCAUCUGUACAUUUUUCAUUUUUUACAAUCGACUGUGUUUGAUCAAAUCCUCCAGCUUCACCUAAUUAGUUUUUGAAACAUAAUUAAUGAAAUGGGUUGAAGGGUCCCUAAAUGUGUUUGAAGGGACAUUUAUUAUCUCUUAUUUGGCUUUAGUAUCUCCGUCUUUGACUUUGCUUUUGAUAAUCCAUCCAAGCGUCACUCACAAUCUAAUCCACACCCAAAUUCAUUAUCAGUUUCAUUUCAUUUUCAUUAUCUAGAUUCGUAUAUUUAGUUUUACCAGCUUUUAUUAAACUGAAUCAGUACAAAGGUUCAACUUUAACAACAUUACAAUAAAGCAGCUUAAACCAUCAAUCACCUGAGAGAGAGACAGCAGGUGCUUUUGAUCCCUUUAUAUUUCCUUUGUGAUGUAGAACCCAACGCUUUCAUGGUAGAAUCUGGGAGGAACACGAGGUGUUUGGACAGUCGGCUCUGUGUGAACUAAGAGUUUAAGGUGCUUUCUCUUCACCUUCCAGACAGCUGACAGCUUGGGAGGAGUCGGGUGGAGAGGUCGUGACCUCUGCAAAGCUCUCCAGCCGAGCGACGCUCUGACCUUGGUCACUUUCAGACGGUAAUUAAUUAAACCACACGAUACCUGACUUUCGGCGCGGCCUCUACCCGUGUGUGUGUGUGUGUGUGUGCCAGGAUGGGGGAAGAAUGCUGCUUUUUUGCGUAUGUGCUGAGGAAAAAGUGUGUGUGAGUUGUUGUAGAGUGAUGUAUGAGGGUGUCGAGAUACAGCAGGGUGUCAUCCGACAACUAGGUCCCUCCCGCAGACACGCACACACACACACACGCACACACACAAGCACGCACACACACACUCACACAGAGCGGGGUCAUCAGUGAGGGGCUUCUGGUUAAAGUCCUAAUGACGGGCGUUUCUCUGUGGAAACUUCUCUCCAUAUGUUACCCGGAGACUCCUUCAAACCGUCACCUUGUUGGAGGAGCUCCUUUGAGACAUGUGACAGAUGUGGGAGGAGUCGGAGAUGAUGUAGCGUUGCUCUGUCCUCCUUACGGAUGAGAUGAGCGAAGGAAAGGGGGGAGAGGAGAGCUCAAGUGUUGGGAGGAAUGAUCGUAACAUAAUUGACAGAAAGUCAAAUGUAUUUGGGUCUUCAUUGGGUUUCAGGAGGCAACACAAACACAUGGAAUGGAAAACAAGGGCAGGGUUGAUACUGUUUUCUCUGUGUGAUAUUUCUGUUGGGUGUGAUUCUACAUCUACCCCCCCGGCGCCUCACACAGGAUCAUCCCGAUGGAUCAGAGACCCGUCACCGACCUGCUACCUGCUGAUCCGCACACUAGCAACACUUGCAUCCCUGAGUAUUUGUACGAGCGUGAACACCAGCGCGUCCAUAGUUGUCCCUGUGCCGGGUAGAAAACGUUUACUCAUACAGGAAACCCGGUGCUGGCUGAUGCAAGCAGGGUCCAUUUCAUUUGAGGCCCUGAGGCCUUUCUAAUCGGUAUUAAGUCGCCGAAUGAUGUCACUCACACAAUAUGUAAAUGUUACAAGUAGUCUUCCGGCUGUCAAUCAGAAUUGGAAGAAUUACUCACAUCACUAGUCCCAUUACUAGAAAGCUUUACUUCACCAAUCAUGAAACGUGGAUCAAAUUGUCCGGUUUGCUGAUGAUCCCGUGGAAACAGACGGUCAGGGAGGAACAGGCAGGAAAGCUGCAGGCCUCGUUUAAGAGUGCAGCUCACAUAAUCCUCCUGCAAGCUGACCCGUCUUAUGGUCAACUCCCAAGAUAACCCCUCUGAAGGGAAGAAGGUGGAGGAGGAACGAGGAGGCGAGCAGAGUGCAAACGCUGCGUACAAAACAGUUCCUCGGGUUCAACAGCAGCCGCUGAGCAAGUGAGGGGAAAGAAGAACACGUUUUGAGGAAUCGCCUGUAUUUAAUUCCAGGGCACAAUGGUCAUGCUUUGCUCUCCUCUGGUUGUAUGUCGACUGACAAUCUUCAACCAAACUCUCGACUGCCCCCCUGAACCUGUGUUGUGGAGGACUGAACCGUCCUCCUCUUGGAAAUCAUCACUAUCAUCAUCGUCAUCUGAUCUCAAGCUGCUUCAGGAAAGCAGCCACGUUUACUUGCAUGAGGACUAGCGCAGACAGUCCAAGCGGCUCAGACCG